CACAUGUUUUCAUUUCUAGUCUUUAAAACCUCUCUACCCAUCUAGUAUUAAUUCCUUCUGGGAUACAAAUAUGUAUAUUAUGCAGACACACAAACACACAUGCAGCUAUUACCCAUUUCUUGUUUUUAUACCUAAGAUGAAUUAUUGUUGAAUGAAGACAUUUUUCAAACACAUGUAAUUGCCAAUUGUGUUUAUUGGGUAAAAAAAAAAGGUAGAAGGGGGGAAAAGAGGUAAAAAGAGGAAUAAAAAGAAGGAAAGAGAGAGAAGAGAGAAAACCCCAACAAUCCCCUCUGAGCAAGCACCAGGCGACAGUGGAUAGGAAAAACUCCUUUUAAAGUGAAAGACACUUAAAGGAGAAACCUAUGGCAGAACCAGGCUCAGGAGGGGGCAGUCAACUGCCGGGACUGGUCGGGGGGUGAGGGUGAAAAAAGAAAAAGGAGGGAGGGGGAGGGGAAGGGGAAGGGGAAGGGGGAAAAUUAAGUUGGAAUAGAGGUGGAGGAAGACAUGGUUACAUCAGGUGAGAAGCAGCAGUGUCCCUUCUCCAGAACCAGUGGAAACGUUUUCUCUUCUUUUUCAGACAAUGUUCCACCAGCACUUUUUUCUCAAGGAUGAGGGUUUUCAGCUCAUCCAUUGUUUCUGUGUUUUCUUUCUCAAGUUUGCUGCAUCUUUUCACCAUGUCUUCUAAUUGUUCUUGUUUUUCUUUAAGCUUGUCUUGCAGUUCUUUAACUGUUGCCUCCUCUAUUCGCUUUGCCUUGUGCACAUCUGUGUGCAUGUCUUCCAGCUGCUGGUUUCUCUUCUGGAUUUCUUGAAGUCUACACUGCAGGUCUUAGAAAGUUCUUCAAGUUCGGUAUUUUUUCUCAGCAUUUCAUUGAUGCUACUCUGCAUCGCUGAGCACUGUUUUUCCAUUUUUUUCUUUUCUCCUUCCAGUACAGAUGUUUUGUACCUCGUUUCGUUAUACAAUUCUUGGAGUGCUAGAUAUUUCUUCUGGAGAAAAAAUUUUUCUUCUUCCUGUUGUAUUUUCUGUUGGUCUUUUUCUUGAAGCAGCUCUUUAUUUUUGAGGAGUGUUUCCUCAAGAGUUAUUUGGAGCAUUUUGCAUUUUUCCUCCAAGACUUCAAACUUGCGGUCCAUUUCUUUCUCGAGCAUUUCUUGUUGCUCUCUCUCUUCAAUGAACUCCUUAUUUCUGUGCACUUUUUUAUCGAGCUUGAUUUGGAGCAGUCUGUGUUUUUCCUCCAUCUCAUCAAGCUUGGAGUCCAUUUCCUUCUGCUUCAUAUCCAUUUGCUUCUUGUCUUUAACCAACUGUUGAUUUUUGUGCAGAGUUUUAUCAUGUUUCACCUGCAGAGCUUUGUAUUUUUCCUCCAUGGCUUGGAGUUUGCUCUGCAGGUCUCUCUGCUCUUCGGGCUGUUGUUUCUUGUCUUGGAGAAUCUCUUUAUUUCUCUCCAGAGCUUCAUCAAGCAUAACUUGCAAGCCUUCAUUUUGUUUCUCGAUGUUCCUCAGCUUGCACUCCAUUUCUUGCUGAUGUAUUUUCUGUUGGUCUUUGUCGUGAAGCAACUCUUUAUUUCUUUCCAGAGCUUCAUCAAGCAUUACUUGCAAGCCUCUAUUUUGUUUCUCAAUGUGCCUCAGCUUGCAAUCCAUUUCUUGCUGAUGUAUUUUCCGUUGGUCUUUCUCGUGAAGGAACUCUUUAUUCCUUUCCAGAGCUUCAUCAAGCAUUACUUGCAAGCCUCUAUUUUGUUUCUCGAUGUUCCUCAGCUUGCAAUCCAUUUCUUCCUUUUGUAUUUUUUGUUGGUCAUUCUCGUGAAGCAUCUCUGUAUUUUUGAGCAGUGUUUCCUCAAGAGUUAUUUGCAGCAUUUUCAGUUUUUCUUCCAAGACUUCAAACUUGGAGUCCGUUUCUUUCUCGAGGAUUUCUUGUUGCUCUCUCUCUUCAAUGAACUCUUUAUUUCUGUGCACUGUUUUCUCAAGCUUGAUUUGGAGCAGUCUGUGUUUUUCCUCCAUCUCGUCAUGCUUGGAGUCCAUUUCCUUCUGUUUCAUUUCCAUUUGCUUCUUGUCUUGAAGCAACUGUUGAUUUUUGUGCAGAGUUUUGUCAUGCUUUACCUGCAGCGCUUUGUAUUUUUCCUCCAUGGCUUGGAGUUUGCGCUGCAUGUCUCUCUGCUCGGCCUGUUGUUUCUCUUCUUGGUGGAUUUCUCUAAGUUUCUCCAGAGCUUCAUCAAGCUCUUCUUGGAGCUCCUGAUUCUUCCUGACCAUGGUUUCCUGUUUUAUGCUCUCUUUUUUCUCCUUUUGGAGCAGAUCUUUAAUUUUUUCCAGAGCGUCAUCCAGCUUUUCUUGGAGCACCUGAUUCUUCUUAUCUUGGAGAGCCCAUUGUUUCUCCUCAAUACCUUCUUUUUCUUGAAGCUGGUAGGAUAAUUUUUCUAAUUCAGCUCUUUCUCUCAUUUUCUUCCGUCAGGAUCUUAAUCUUCUCUCUGUUCAUGAGAUUUUCAUUCUGCAUUUCUUCCAAUCGCUGUUCCUCUAAUUCUACCUGUUCAUCCCAAGGUAGAGAGCUCAUAUAAGGGUCUAGGGACUCAUACCAUGGAAUAGAGCUGGGGUCAGCUUCUUGUCUUUCUUGCUUUUUCGGAGACAUGUUGGAGUCUGUUUACCGUGACUACGAAAAGGAUCCAAAGGUUUCGAAAUGCUUUACUGGUGAAUGUUUGAACGCUGCUGACAUAAGUGCUGCAAAUAACGGACUAAAAGUUGUACAUCCUCACCCCUAUUUAAGGAUUUUGAGGAUCAAAGCUUCAAAGGAUCAAAGCUUUAGAAGCCCGUGACAUCAGAAUUCCAUAAGCCAUGAGGUUGUCACAUGACAUUUUUGAAUGAGGUCAUAUUUUUGUAUGAAUUUUUUUAAAUAACAUCAACAUUCCGUAAGCCAGUGAGGUUCUUACAUGACUUUUGAAUGAGGAUAAAUUUUUUGCUUGGA
ensembl:lncRNA